rnacentral:rRNA from 1 species
AUUGAACGCUGGCGGCAGGCCUAACACAUGCAAGUCGAGCGGAGCGGCGGACGGGUGAGUAAUGCAUAGGAAUCUGCCUGGUAGUGGGGGAGAACGACCGGCAACGGGCGCUAAUACAGCAUACUAUCAGAUGAGCCUAGGGGGGCUUAGCUAGUUGGUGGGGUAAAGGCCUACCCAGGCGACGAUCCGUAGCUGGGUUGGGAGGAUGAUCAGUCACACUGGAACGGAUACACGGUCCAGACUCCUACGGGAGGCAGCAGUGGGGAAUAUUGGACAAUGGGCGAAAGCCUGAUCCAGCCAUGCCGCGUGUGUGAAGAAGGUCUUCGGAUUGUAAAGCACUUUAAGUUGGGAGGCGUUACCAACAGAAUAAGCACCGGCUAACUUCGUGCCAGCAGCCGCGGUAAUAC